UUGGGUUUGGGUUUGUUCUUGUUCUUGCUUUUGGGAAAAUUUUUGGAUGAUUUUUUUUUUACCUUUAUAUAAUCUCUGCUUUUCAUAUUGCUUCCAUUCCUUGGAUGGAUGUUCUUAUGUUGUUACUAUAAUUGCUAUGAUAAUUUAAAACCUUGGAAUAGAUAGAAAGAGGAGAGGUUGAAUAAUAUGUAGAAGAAUGAAUGCCAAGAAUGAUCCUAGUGGCAUUAUAAUUUUUUUCCUCUUUUCCUUUCUUUUUAGCUGCAUGAUGUAUAAUGAAUAUAUAAAAAAUAAUAAAUUGAUUAAAUAUAUCUAAUGGCUCAUAUGUCUUGAACUGAAUUUGUAAAAAUAGUAGUUAAUAGGAUUGUUUUGUUUUCAUCCUAAAAUCCAUUGCACAAUUGCCUAGCUGUUUUCAAGGUGGGACUUACUCGAAUUGUGAGCCUCAAAUAUAAAAGCUCUACCUGAAGCAUUCCUUUUCUGCCUGUCAAAAAACUUUCUUUUUCUCUUUAAUUUUAAAAAUGUUGUACCUCAAGGUUUAUGGGCAAUUGAAAUUCCGAAGUUUGUGCCAUUUUUUCACUUGCCUUUCUACCAAAAUAUUAUUAACUUUAAAUUGUCUAUGAUGAAUAAUUUUUGUGUAAAGUAAAGAAAUUAUUAUACACACACUUAG
rnacentral:misc_RNA from 1 species